UGAGCUUGGAAUUCUUCAGGGGUAAAAGGUUUUGAGCUUGGAAUUCUUCAGGGGUAAAAAAUUUUAAGCUUGGAAUUCUUCAGGGGUAAAGGGUUUUGAGCUUGGAAUUCUUCAGGGUUAAAGGAUUUUGAGCUUGGAAUUUUGGAAUUCUUCAGGGGUAAAUAGUUUUGAGCUUGGAAUUCUUCAGGGGCAAAGGAUUUUGAGCUUGGAAUUUUGGAAUUCUUCAGGGGUAAAGGGUUUUGAGCUUGGAAUUCUUCAGGGGUAUAACCACGAAAAACAUGUAUCCUCGACAGGGGGUGUACGGAUAUUAAAUGGAAUAGCCCAUUGUAACCAAAUAUUUGCGAUUGUGAAUCACAGCUUGCUAAAGUAGUGGGAAAUUUUACACUUUCCCAUGUGUAUUGCACUGUAGGAAGCUGUUUCCUUAACAAAUAGAGUGUC